ACUGGAACUGCCGGGACGACGACUGCCAACCGGCCACACGACCCAGGCAGAGACGCGGGGACACGCUGACCAGAAGAAAGGCCGACGUGCAAGAAACCCACCCUCCGGCGCACAGGGCACAUGUGUCCCAAGGCGCACGCACACACAGACGGACAGAGACAGACAGAGAGGGCGACGGAAACAGCGAGAAGGGAGAGAGAGAGAGAGAGAGAGAGAGACAGAGAGAGACAGAGAGAGAGAGAGACACAGAGAGAGACGUGAGAGAGAGACAGAAGUCGGCACACAGACACGCACUGCGCGCGCACACACACAGACACACACACAGACGCACCCCCCCAACACACACACACACACCCAUAACGAACACACACGUACAGCUGGGAACACCCACCCGCAGGCAGCCCCUGAAGCUGCCGGGUUCUGCUCUCCGAGACUAAGAGCCACCGGUGAGAGAGCAGCCCACGGGCACACAGGCGGACCUGUGCUCGUCAUCACAAGGGCUCCACUUUUGGGGAGACUCACCCGCACACCGUCCGCGCACGCCUGAGGCUGGGAUCCCGCGCUGCCUCGCCGGCGAUCUGUCUGAGGUUUCUUCCUCUUGGGGUUUCUUCCUGCUGGUGGACCCUCCGCGAAUCCCGGCCUCCGGAGACCGUCCUGGUAACUGCCCUGGCCAGGACUGGUCUCAGCCCAGACUCAGACGCACGAUCACACAGGGCUCCUACUUCGCCAAGUGUCAGGGACCCAUCCCCGGGCAACGGUGGCUUUCACUGUGACCCAAGCGGCGGCUUGGGCCUCGU
rnacentral:lncRNA from 1 species